GGCAGUAUACAGCUCAGUGGCAGAACACAUGCUUAGCAUGCACAAGGUCCUGGGUUCAAAUCCCAGUACCUCCU
rnacentral:tRNA from 1 species